GGACUUCCUAAAAAAAAAAAAAAGGAACCUUUGCUGAGGAUGCCUUGCAGACUCCAAGCUCUGUUACACAGAUCAUCUUCAAAAUGAGUCUUUGUUGUUUUAUUGGCCUCACUUCUGGGACUGGUUUGAUGAGGCUGUGUCAAAUAAUCUCAGGACAAGGAAUUGGAGCUGCAAAUUCUGUGAAUUUCUGUGUACAAAAGUUGCCUCAAAUGUAGCAUUUUCUGGGAGAAGAUAUCCGGUGGCAUUGCUGUGGAGAGGGAAACCUCCUACCCUACUGGUGGCCAGCAGCUACUGAGCUCUUUCUGGCUUCUUGAGGCUGUCAACAGACAUUUUGUCUUGGCUCUGGCAGAAUGAGCAAUGCAGGAGUGGUGGUAGGACGACAUUAAUUCAAACCAAAUCCCAGCUCUGAUUUAGUACACUGAAGUGUCUGCAUACCACCCACACUCGGUAGAGCAAUUUUUCAGGAUCCUUGUCAUCUGCAAUGAGUAUGUUAAACCUUUCUGAAUUUUAUUUGGGCUGUGUUUUACCUAGUGGAACCUCUCUGUCACCACUUUGCCUGCACCUUACAGUGGUCAUGAAUUGCAUUUCAGUCAUUUGCACUCUGAGAAAACAACAGUGAUAUUUUCAAAGCCCGGUUGUUCUCUGCUUGUAUGUGUAUGAGCAAGAGACCUAUGUGAAGUAUUAUCUACCUUACCAAGUCACAAAAAAUAAAUAAGUACAGUCUCAGCUAUAACAUAAAGAAGCUGACCAGAAAACAGAAUUAGUGGUGACAUAGCAACUACUAUGGCUCUGCAACUGAAUGAAUAGUAUAGGAGCACAAAGCGUAUAACUCCUGCUGUUGUGGCUCUGUUUCUUAUAUCUGUGGAGCAGUUUCUAAUACAAGCAUAGCAGAGAGCCAGCAGAAAUACUACUUAGCAUAGCUACCCAGCUGUGGAAAAGCAUUAAGUAAUACAAACUCUGUAUUGGCAUAAACACAACUUCCUUUGCUUCCAAUUUAAACAAUAUUUGUCCUUCUCAUCGCAGAUGCUUCACUUUCUGAUUUUUUACCUUCCUCUUAUUUUAGUUACUUGCUAGAUCUGUUGCAGGCAGAUCACAACAACAUUUGUGAUAGUAGUUCAUUUAAUUUGAAAUUUAAAUGUAAAAAGUUUUGACUGAUAAACAAGUUGCGUAUGUGAAUUGAUUUUGCAAGCUGGGACACUCAUAUCCCUCUUAAUUCUUUAGAAGAUCAGAAAAUCAGUGUAAUUUCCUAGCUUUAUUUAUGGCUAUGUAAUAGCUUACAUACUUUCCCAAUGUGUCUAAAAUGCCAUUAUAAAAGUCAAUGUGCCUGUAGAACUGAGAAACAUGAACAAGAAAGGAAAUGUUUGCCUAAUUCAGGUAUGUGCUCAUACUAGGCUUAUUUUUUGAUAGUUGCUAAGAGCUCCUGGAGCUGUCUGAAGCUUGUGGGAGAUGAAAAUGCUCAGCAGUGCUGUAGUUUAAUUUGAGUAAUCUGUGAACUUUACCAGCAGAAAAUAAAAGUAACCUUUG